UACGUAGGGGGCGAGCGUUGUCCGGAUUUAUUGGGCGUAAAGAGCUCGUAGGCGGUUCGAUAAGUCGGACGUGAAAUCUCCACGCUCAACGUGGAGGGGCCGUUCGAUACUGUCGUGACUCGAGUCCGGUAGGGGAGUGUGGAAUUCCCGGUGUAGCGGUGAAAUGCGCAGAGAUCGGGAGGAACACCCGUAGCGAAGGCGGCACUCUGGGCCGGUACUGACGCUGAGGAGCGAAAGCGUGGGGAGCAAACAGG
rnacentral:rRNA from 3 species